CACAUAUACACUCACAUUCUUUUGUUGGGAGAAAGGCAUUAAAAAAAAAAAAAAAGAAAGAUCGAUUUAACUUGAACAACUGGGAAACAAAGACGGAGAAUGAUGUUUGAACCCCUUUCAGAUCAGACCAAAGGGCUGGACAAAACCGCAACUGUCGUAAGUUAGGGGCUGAGCCUGGGAGAAGGCAAUGAUCGCUGCUACUUCAACGGCCCUGGGAAAAGACGGGUGGCUUAUCCUGGACAACCAUGACGCGGCCGGCUCCUCACUGGACAUUUGACCCGAGAAGUCAUAGCAACAGGAUUACCACUACCCCAGCGUGGCGGCAAAGAGACCUUUCCAAUCGGACUGCAAUGAUUUGUUUCUCUGAGAUGCUUUCCGUACGCGAAGACUUUUAAUUAGCUUUCUAGAGUGUUUUCCUAAUGGACAUCACCUCCGCAAAGCCCUGAAAUGGUGACACAAGGGAUCAUGUUCAAGGUGGUCUCAGAGAAAGUGACAUCUUGGGCUGGUUUGCCUUAAAAAGAUAUUUCUGCAGGAUUUCGAUUCUGCAGCAGGGAUGGAGUAUUAUAAAUUUCCAGAACUUCUUAUAUAAAGGCAUAAAAAGUGAAUAAAAAUGGACUCAAAAAUAGAUCCAAAUGGGGUGCUUCAGGUUACCUGGAGAACUAUAUUUCCCUCCUUUGCCCCAGCUGCAUUGUUGCAACCUUCUAUCAUCUGGAAGAUCCUAUUUUAAGACACUACCUUAACA